AAAUUGAAGAGUUUGAUCAUGGCUCAGAUUGAACGCUGGCGGCAGGCCUAACACAUGCAAGUCGAGCGGUAGCACAGAGAGCUUGCUCUCGGGUGACGAGCGGCGGACGGGUGAGUAAUGUCUGGGAAACUGCCUGAUGGAGGGGGAUAACUACUGGAAACGGUAGCUAAUACCGCAUAACGUCGCAAGACCAAAGUGGGGACCUUCGGGCCUCAUGCCAUCAGAUGUGCCCAGAUGGGAUUAGCUAGUAGGUGGGGUAAUGGCUCACCUAGGCGACGAUCCCUAGCUGGUCUGAGAGGAUGACCAGCCACACUGGAACUGAGACACGGUCCAGACUCCUACGGGAGGCAGCAGUGGGGAAUAUUGCACAAUGGGCGCAAGCCUGAUGCAGCCAUGCCGCGUGUGUGAAGAAGGCCUUCGGGUUGUAAAGCACUUUCAGCGGGGAGGAAGGCGUUAAGGUUAAUAACCUUGGCGAUUGACGUUACCCGCAGAAGAAGCACCGGCUAACUCCGUGCCAGCAGCCGCGGUAAUACGGAGGGUGCAAGCGUUAAUCGGAAUUACUGGGCGUAAAGCGCACGCAGGCGGUCUGUCAAGUCGGAUGUGAAAUCCCCGGGCUCAACCUGGGGGAACUGCAUUCGAAACUGGCAGGCUAGAGUCUUGUAGAGGGGGGUAGAAUUCCAGGUGUAGCGGUGAAAUGCGUAGAGAUCUGGAGGAAUACCGGUGGCGAAGGCGGCCCCCUGGACAAAGACUGACGCUCAGGUGCGAAAGCGUGGGGAGCAAACAGGAUUAGAUACCCUGGUAGUCCACGCCGUAAACGAUGUCGAUUUGGAGGUUGUGCCCUUGAGGCGUGGCUUCCGGAGCUAACGCGUUAAAUCGACCGCCUGGGGAGUACGGCCGCAAGGUUAAAACUCAAAUGAAUUGACGGGGGCCCGCACAAGCGGUGGAGCAUGUGGUUUAAUUCGAUGCAACGCGAAGAACCUUACCUGGUCUUGACAUCCACAGAACUUUCCAGAGAUGGAUUGGUGCCUUCGGGAACUGUGAGACAGGUGCUGCAUGGCUGUCGUCAGCUCGUGUUGUGAAAUGUUGGGUUAAGUCCCGCAACGAGCGCAACCCUUAUCCUUUGUUGCCAGCGGUUCGGCCGGGAACUCAAAGGAGACUGCCAGUGAUAAACUGGAGGAAGGUGGGGAUGACGUCAAGUCAUCAUGGCCCUUACGACCAGGGCUACACACGUGCUACAAUGGCAUAUACAAAGAGAAGCGACCUCGCGAGAGCAAGCGGACCUCAUAAAGUAUGUCGUAGUCCGGAUUGGAGUCUGCAACUCGACUCCAUGAAGUCGGAAUCGCUAGUAAUCGUAGAUCAGAAUGCUACGGUGAAUACGUUCCCGGGCCUUGUACACACCGCCCGUCACACCAUGGGAGUGGGUUGCAAAAGAAGUAGGUAGCUUAACCUUCGGGAGGGCGCUUACCACUUUGUGAUUCAUGACUGGGGUGAAGUCGUAACAAGGUAACCGUAGGGGAACCUGCGGUUGGAUCACCUCCUUA
rnacentral:rRNA from 1 species